rnacentral:misc_RNA from 1 species
AAUAUAUGCCAUUUCAUUUGUCACAGACAAGAAGAACUCAAAUCUUAAAUCAUCAUUUUUAUUGAACAUUCAACAUCUGUGCUAACUUAAUUAUUCAGCUCUUUCUAUUCUACAACAGAGAUAUUUACAGCAAACAAAGAAGAAUUGGUUUUCCUUUUUUUUUUCUUUAGUUCAUGAAUGAAGCAACAACCUCAAUGAGUUUAUGUGACGCCCAUGUCCUUGCAACAUCAGAA